rnacentral:rRNA from 1 species
GAGAGCGGCGAACGGGUGAGGAACAUGUUGAUACCUGCCCCCAAGUCAGGGAUAGCCCACUGAAAAGUGGAUUAAUACCGGAUAGUCUCUUCGGAGUAAAAAUUUAUUGCUUGGGGAGGGGUCUGCAUUCUAUCAGCUUGUUGGUGAGGUAAUAGCUCACCAAGGCUAUGACGGAUAACUGGUCUGAGAGGAUGAUCAGUCACAAUGGAACUGAGACACGGUCCAUACUCC